UACGGAGGAUGCGAGCGUUAUCCGGAUUUAUUGGGUUUAAAGGGUGCGUAGGCGGACUGUCAAGUCAGCGGUAAAAUUGAGAGGCUCAACCUCUUCCCGCCGUUGAAACUGGUGGUCUUGAGUGGAUGAGAAGUACGCGGAAUGCGUGGUGUAGCGGUGAAAUGCAUAGAUAUUACGCAGAACUCCGAUUGCGAAGGCAGCGUACCGGCAUCCAACUGACGCUGAGGCACGAAAGCGUGGGGAUCAAACAGG
rnacentral:rRNA from 1 species